UACGAAGGGGGCUAGCGUUGCUCGGAAUUACUGGGCGUAAAGCGCUCGUAGGCGGCUUUCUAAGUCGGGGGUGAAAUCCUGGAGCUCAACUCCAGAACUGCCUUCGAUACUGGAGAGCUCGAGUCCGGGAGAGGUGAGUGGAACUGCGAGUGUAGAGGUGAAAUUCGUAGAUAUUCGCAAGAACACCAGUGGCGAAGGCGGCUCACUGGCCCGGUACUGACGCUGAGGUGCGAAAGCGUGGGGAGCAAACAGG
rnacentral:rRNA from 1 species